UCCCGCCCCCUCAAAGGUAAAGGGAUUAAUAUGUCACCAUCCAACACAACAGUGACGAGUACCUAGGCAUGAAACACAUCUCCCGCCCCCUCAAAGGUAAAGGGAUUAAUAUGUCACCAUCCAACACAACAGUGACGAGUACCUAGGCAUGAAACACAUCUCCCCGCCCCCUCAAAGGUAAAGGGAUUAAUAUGUCACCAUCCAACACAACAGUGACGAGUACCUAGGCAUGAAACACAUCUCCCCGCCCCCUCAAAGGUAAAGGGAUUAAUAUGUCACCAUCCAACACAACAGUGACGAGUACCUUGCCAUGAAACACAUCUCCCGCCCCCUCAAAGGUAAAGGGAUUAAUAUGUCACCCUCCAACACAACAGUGACGAGUACCUUGGCAUGAAACACAUCUCCCGCCCCCUCAAAGGUAAAGGGAUUAAUAUGUCACCAUCCAACACAACAGUGACGAGUACCUUGGCAUGAAACACAUCUCCCCGCCCCCUCAAAGGUAAAGGGAUUAAUAUGUCACCAUCCAACACAACAGUGACGAGUACCUUGGCAUGAAACACAUCUCCCGCCCCCUCAAAGGUAAAGGGAUUAA